AUUGAACGCUGGCGGAAUGCUUUACACAUGCAAGUCGAACGGCAGCACGGACUUCGGUCUGGUGGCGAGUGGCGAACGGGUGAGUAAUACAUCGGAACGUGCCCAAUCGUGGGGGAUAACGUAGCGAAAGCCACGCUAAUACCGCAUACGAUCUAAGGAUGAAAGCGGGGGAUCGCAAGACCUCGCGAGAAUGGAGCGGCCGAUGGCAGAUUAGGUAGUUGGUAGGGUAAAGGCCUACCAAGCCGACGAUCUGUAGGUGGUCUGAGAGGAUGAUCAGCCACACUGGGACUGAGACACGGCCCAGACUCCUACGGGAGGCAGCAGUGGGGAAUUUUGGACAAUGGACGCAAGUCUGAUCCAGCCAUUCCGCGUGCAGGAUGAAGGCCCUCGGGUUGUAAACUGCUUUUGUACAGAACGAAAAGGCUCUGGUUAAUACCUGGGGCUCAUGACGGUACUGUAAGAAUAAGCACCGGCUAACUACGUGCCAGCCGCCGCAGUAA
rnacentral:rRNA from 1 species